UGUUUCUUCGCGUUUUCUACUCAGUUUUUCGGUAGAUUUGAUGAUUGUGGAAAUAGAAGUGAAAGUGUUGUGCUAUAUGUUGGUGUCGAAUUGUUUACGAUUUUGUCAAACAUCAAUCAGAUAACCUACUACUUCUCCUGUGAAGGAAGAAAACGGACAAACUCGAUGAUUUUGUCAAACAGAUUCGCACAAAAAUUUGGAUUAGGAUUCUAGUUACCCUCUGCUUCAAAGUUGACUCUAUACCGGGGGUUGGUUUUACUCUAGUUGUAGUUGUCUUCCGUCUCUGGGGUGAAAAUUAUAUCAUUGAUGGUGAAUCUGGGAAUAGAUAGUUCGACUACUUCUAAGCAACUUUCGAUCUGUUACCCAUGUUUUCGGAAGAUUUUUGCUAAUAUCUCAAAACUGAAGUAUUUAAGCGAAAAAAAUGCUUCAAGUUUGAAUGUAGCUCAUGAAAUAACAAAAAGAAUUGUGACCGUAGACUCAAUACAAACAGUAGAAAGUUUUAACGAGAAAUUUACAUACAAUGGAUAUUUCGGGAAAAACUCAACGAACCUUUUUUGAAGUGCUUAGAGUAACAUUAAUCAUUGUUGUCUGUAAAUGUUCAUGGAAUCAAAACUAAGCAAGUAAUAGCAGUUAAA